rnacentral:rRNA from 1 species
CGGGUGCGUAACGCGUAUAGAACCUACCUUUUACAGAGGAAUAGCCUUUAGAAAUGAAGAUUAAUGCCUCAUAGUAUUGUAGACUGGCAUCAGUUUAUAAUUAAAGAUUUAUCGGUAAAAGAUGGCUAUGCGUCCUAUUAGUUAGUUGGUAAGGUAACGGCUUACCAAGACAGCGAUAGGUAGGGGUCCUGAGAGGGAGAUCCCCCACACUGGUACUGAGACACGGACCAGACUCCUACGGGAGGCAGCAGUGAGGAAUAUUGGACAAUGGAGGAGACUCUGAUCCAGCCAUGCCGCGUGUAGGAAGAAUGCCCUAUGGGUUGUAAACUACUUUUAUACAGGAAGAAACACUGGUAUGUAUACCAGCUUGACGGUAC